rfam:Oryza sativa (indica cultivar-group) chromosome 3, whole genome shotgun sequence.
AAAAAGGCAAACCCUGGAUUUCCGUGUCCAACUUUAACUGUCCGUCUUAUAUGAAAUUUUUUUAUAAUUCGUAUUUUCAUUGCUGUUAGAUGAUAAAACAUGAUUAAUAUUUUAUGCGUGACUUUCUUUUUAAUCUUUUUAAAAAAAAUUUCAAAUAAGAUGGACGGUCAAACAUUGGGCACGGAAACCAGGGUUUGUCUUUUU